rnacentral:lncRNA from 1 species
UAGGUAGAUAUUUUUUUCUCAAAGUUUUAAUUUUUUUUUCAAAUUUUUCCAUCGUUCUUAUGAAUUUUUUCUGUGCCAUGAGUCGACCCCCAGGAUCGACCCUAGGAUAAACUUGUAAUUCUGUCAAAAUCCUUCAAGCGCUCUCUUUUUAUUGAAAAAUUUUCUUUGAGCCGACUCAGCCCUUCUUCUUCUUCCUCCCACCGAACCAAAAGCUCUCCCUCUCUUCUCCCUCAAACCGAAGAUUUCUCUCAAAUCUCUCUUUCCACUGAUUUUACCCUUCAAAUCGCCCAUUUAGGAACUAACUUUCUCUCCUCUUUCUUCCUCGUUUGGAUGGUUCUAGCUUGCCCUAGAUUCUACCUUUCUUCUCCAAAUCGAUGCUUCACCUCUCCAAAAUCUUAGCUUUUCCACUAGAAUUCUUUCCUCUCUACCUCAUUUAGUCUCCUAAGCUCCUUGCAAGUCUCUUUUGUCCAAAUGGCCCCCAAAAUGAAGCUAUCGUAGAGAAGAAAAUCUGUUCGCGGGUUGGAAGAGACUGAGCGCAGAAAAAGAAUGGUAGUCGAGCCCUCUCCUGCUCCAAUCCCAGCUCCAGGUCCUGCUUCAGCUUUUACACAGUCUCCAAUCAAUGC